UACCAGCACCCCGAGUGGUCGGGACGAUUAUUGGGCCUAAAGCAUCCGUAGCCGGUCAUGCAAGUCCUCCGUUAAAUCCACCUGCUUAACAGAUGGGCUGCGGAGGAUACUACAAGGCUAGGAGGCGGAAGAGGCAAGCGGUACUCAGUGGGUAGGGGUAAGAUCCUCUGAUCCAUUGAAGACCACCAGUGGCGAAGGCGGCUUGCCAAUACGCGCUCGACGGUGAGGGAUGAAAGCUGGGGGAGCAAACCGG
rnacentral:rRNA from 1 species